rnacentral:rRNA from 1 species
CUUAACCUCGGAAUUGCAGUCGAUACUGCUGUGACUCGAGUCCGGUAGAGGAGAAUGGAAUUCUCGGUGUAGCGGUGAAAUGCGCAGAUAUCGAGAGGAACACCAGUAGCGAAGGCGGUUCUCUGGGCCGGCACUGACGCUGAGGAGCGAAAGCGUGGGGAGCAAACAGGAUUAGAUACCCUGGUAGUCCACGCCGUAAACGUUGGAUACUAGGUGUGGCGGUUGUACCAACGACUGCCGUGCCGAAGCUAACGCAUUAAGUAUCCCGCCUGGGGAGUACGGCCGCAAGGCUAAAACUCAAAGGGAUUGACGGGUCCCCGCACAAGCGGCGGAGCAUGCGGCUUUAUUCGAUGCAACCCGAAGAACCUUACCUGGGUUUGACAUCACGGGAAAAACUGUAGAAAUACAGUGUCCGUAAGGGCCC